rnacentral:rRNA from 1 species
AACGAACGCUGGCGGCGUGCUUAACACAUGCAAGUCGCACGAGAAAGUUCCGGCAACGGAAUGAGUAAAGUGGCGAACGGGUGAGUAACACGUGGGUAAUUUGCCUUUAAGUUGAGGAUAACCUCGCGAAAGCGGGGCUAAUACUCAAUAAGACCACGAUAGCUUAGGCUAUUGCGGUAAAAGGAGGCCUCUGAUACAAGCUUUCGCUUAGAGAGAAGCCCGCGGACCAUUAGCUUGUUGGUAGGGUAAUGGCCUACCAAGGCUACGAUGGUUAGCUGGUCUGAGAGGAUGGCCAGCCACACUGGAACUGAGACACGGUCCAGACUCCUACGGGUGGCAG